rnacentral:rRNA from 1 species
GACUGCUAUCGGAUUGGUACUAAGCCAUGCGAGUCGUUUUAGCAAUACAAGGCGGACGGCUCAGUAACACGUAGUCAACCUAACCUAUGGACGUGGAUAACCUCGGGAAACUGAGAAUAAACCGCGAUAGAUCAUUAUGCCUGGAAUGGCUUAUGGUUCAAACAAUUUAUUGCCGUAGGAUGGGACUGCGGCCGAUCAGGCUGUUGGCGGGGUAAUGGCCCACCAAACCUGUAACCGGUACGGGCUUUGAGAGAAGGAGCCCGGAGAUGGACACUGAGACAAGGGUCCAGGCCCUACGGGGCGCAUCAGGCGCGAAAACUUCGCAAUGCGCGAAAGCGUGACGAGGCUAGUCCGAGUGCUUCCUGCUAAAGGGAGCUUUUCUCGGCUGUAAAUAAGCCGGGGAAUAAGGGGAGGGCAAGUCUGGUGUCAGCCGCCGCGGUAAUACCAGCUCCUCGAGUGGUCGGGACGAUUAUUGGGCCUAAAGCACCCGUAGCUUGUUCUGUAAGUCCUCUGUUAAAUCCAGUCGCUCAACGGCUGGCCCGCAGAGGAUACUGCAAGACUAGGAGGCGGGAGAGGCGGGCGGUACUCCGCGUGUAGGGGUAAAAUCCUUUGAUCCGCGGAAGACCACCAGUGGCGAAGGCGGCCCGCCAGAACGCGCUCGACGGUGAGGGGUGAAAGCUGGGGGAGCGAACCGGAUUAGAUACCCGGGUAGUCCCAGCCGUAAACGAUGCGAGCUAGAUGAUUCGUUCGCAGUUCGCGAACGAAGUGUCGCAGGGAAGCCGUUAAGCUCGCCGCCUGGGGAGUACGGUCGCAAGGCUGAAUCGUAGAGCAGAUAUUUUCUGCCUACGCAGUUCACUUAAAGGAAUUGGCGGGGGAGCACCGCAAGGGGUAAGCUCGUCA